CUGGACACGGGGCCUGUAAGGCUGCCGCAGAGGAGCGAUUGCCCGAGGGCGCUGGAGUUACUGAGCUGCCCGGUGUGUCCUCUGUCAGCGUGGGCCCUGGUGGCCAGACAGCAAGGGAGGGGGAAGAGACCCCCCAAAAAAGAGUGAGUACCUCCACUCCCGAGGCUGCUAGAAACGGAGAUCCUGCCACCGACCGAGGAGAUCGGUCUCCUCGAGGCCUAGAAAAAGUGCUUUUCCAGGACCCCGACAGCAAAAUGACCGCAACGAGAGCCAAAUCACGCCGUUGCUCUGGACGCCGAAGCUUUGUGGGUGGCCCCCGCAAAAGCCAUAGGGCCUCCUUGGCAGAAAAAUAUUCACUGGCCAGCAAAAGAGAGAGCAUGAUCCGGAGAUCUAUCAGCAGGGCCAUUUCAAAGAAGGCAGCAGCUCGAGAAUCGUCCUCUGCCUCCAGCAGAGUGAGCUGUCAAAGCUCCCUGGAGGUGUUUGUGGAAGACGAUGUGAGCAGCAGCAUGAGACCUGGACUCGAGCUGAUCCCCCAAAGUGAAAAGACUCCUGAAAACUUCCUUGCUUCAAGCAAAAGUAUGCCAGCUGCCAGCCCUCCUGCACAGCGCUUGUCUCCCUCUGAGCAGCAAACAGGGAAUAAUGAAGGAAGCUGUGUAAAUAUGAAUAGCGAACCCCAAAAGGAGAACCAGGAACAACCCCACAGUGCUGAGUUCCAGGAGAAACCCUCACGCAUCUGGACAAGGAGCUGUAAGCAAGCGAUGGGUGUUAUGUGGGACGGGCAGCAGCCAGGGGGUUGUGCCCUUUCCCCGUUGGAGGACAAGCACGCGAGUUCUGCAAACCAGACUGCGUCUUCUGCCUCUCCAGCUAGCAAGGUGAGUGGGUGCCGUAGUCCUCCUUUGCCACCCUUUCCCUGGCCAGUACUGACUUCCGUCUGUCCUCUUCCCUUAGGUUGUUCGCCCGUUGAAAAACUUCUUGCAGGCUGUGCAAAGAAAUCAGCUGCUCUCCAG
rnacentral:lncRNA from 1 species